rnacentral:tRNA from 1 species
GGGGGCGUAGUUAAGUGGGAUAACGGGUCCUUCGCAGGGAUCAGUCGGCAGUUCAAUCCUGCCCGCCUCCACCC